UGAUCCGAUAGUUCAUCCAAAAUUGUAGGUGAAACAUGGUUGCUGAUUCUGACACUUGUCAUCACCCGACCCGAAACGGGUUGCAUUUGGACCGCAAUUUGCCCGAAAUUUGGCGUUCAUUUGCGUUUGUUAUGAUCGUUUUUUGGUUUUGUCCGUACUCUCUUUCCAAGUGCAGUGUCCACCAUCACAGUCCGGUUUUUCUAUAAAUACUCCACGCUUUGUGCUUCAUUCCUCGCUUUCUUUUUCCUUUUCUUUUAGUUUCAACUAGAGAGAGAGUGACUUUCCUAGAGAGAGAGAGUUAGGUUUUUUUGUUUUUUCAUUAAUUUUUUUUGUUUGUUUUUGUGGUUUUGGUUUGUGUUUUCUAUCGUUGUUUUGUAGGUACUGAGGAGGAAGAAAACUCGGAAGAUUGAUUUUCGUUGAAGAGCGUACGAUUUGGGAAAGGCCUUGAAGUUGGCGUGUAUUAGAUUGGAAUCUUAGAAGUUGCUGUUUGGAUUUUCGAUCGAAAGAAUGGAGGUAUAUGGCAAAUCUAUGGUUGCAGCUCCUGCAAAUGUUAUUUAUCUGUCAAGUAUUUUGGGCCAAGAUGGUCCUGUUCCUGUUCACAAAUGUGACUGGAAAUGUCAAAAUGAAAAUGUUUGCGGGAACAUGUACCGCUGCAAGCUAACAGGGCUGACUCACAUCUGUGAUAAAAACUGUAACCAGAGAAUUCUGUAUGAUAAUCAUAGCUCUCUUUGCCUAGCAAGUGGCAAAAUUUUCCCCCUUUCGCAAGAAGAGGAACAAGCUGUGAGAGGUGUUCGCAGAAAGCUUGAUGCAGAGAAUUCGCUUGCUGAUAGCUGUGGUUGUAAGCGGAGACGUGAUGCACAAUUCCACCCGUCUCCUUUCGAGAGAUCCUUCUCUGCUGUCAGUCCUAUCUGCAGCCAAGUUGGAGAUGGCAUGGAUAUGAGCUAGAUAUCUAUUAUUCAACUAAGAAGACUCUGUCAUUUGACUCAUUUUCUCUUAUCCUUUUGAAAUUGCUUUUUUACUUUUUCUAUCGAUAACAGAACUUGAUCGUAUUUGGUGGACUUGAUGUGUCCCCAUGUGCUGUAGGAAGUACUUACUUAUAUUUCUAGCAUUAAUGUAAUGCAGUAUUUGAGGUAGCUUUGCUUGACUGUUGAAUGGGGAUUUGAGCAGUAUCUAUGCACUAGUUAAUGGCACAUGAAUUGACUUUGGUUUCAGUUUUGGGUUAACCUUAUUGAGAGUCAGACUUUGAAAACUGACAAAAGGAUGUGUUCUGGCAUUUUAGAAUGCUUGAAUUUGAUUAUUGACCCGAAUGAUGUAUACUCGGGAAAUGUAUUCAAGUUUCUACUUUAUCUGUAUUCUCAAGGCAGCCAUAUUAUAGUAUUAGUGUACUCAUUAAUAAUGCUACUGUCCUGAAUUGUAUUAUUUAACUUCUAGGGUUAUGAUAGACACCGAGUUUUGUAAGUUCAGGUUCCCUCCAGUUCCUCAUAUGAACAAUCAUAUGAACAAGGUUGUCGGUAGGUUAUCUGGUGAAAUCUGAUAUAGUUUUUCACAUGUUUAUAUGUUUUAAUUCUCUUUUGAUUUUCUUUUCAGCUUGAUGUCUGUGGUUAGAUGUAACCCAUGCAGGUUUUGAAGCUUGUGCUGCAAAGGAACACUCGAAACAUGCGAUGCAUACUGACUACUAACUAAAUUCUUUUGAUAUAGAAUCCCUAUACAUUAUAACCUGAAAUGUUAAGGAAUAUCAUUUUCUUGAUGCAGGUACAGGGGCUUGCAAAUUCUGCUUGAGUCUGUCUUGGAAUAUGGAGGAAGAGCACAGUUAUGUGAUGAGCUCAGGCAAAUAAUCAUGAUCUUGAUAUGCUAAGUGGAAACAAAAGGAUUGAGUUGAGAGCAGUUAUGAUGUGGAUUGUGGCAUUGAGCAAAUAAUUGGGACCUUAGCAGGAUACUUAUCAUCAUCAUCGCCAUUUAUAUAUCAAAAACUGAUAAUUAGACCUCUAUAUAGAAAGCAAUACAGCUGGUUUCUUCUCAAUAUUUUAUGGUAUGUUUUUUAAGCUGAUGAUGUAAAUCUUUUUGGUACAUAAGCAGGUGGAUAAUUUAAUGUCUUAGAAUUCAGAGGUUUUGUGAUGUAUGUCUUAUUCUGGGUUAUGGUAUUCUUCAACCAAUGAAAGUUGGAGGAUUAUUAUUA